rnacentral:rRNA from 1 species
UACGUAGGCGGCAAGCGUUGUCCGGAAUUAUUGGGCGUAAAGCGCGCGCAGGCGGUUCUUUUAAGUCUGAUGUGAAAGCCCCCGGCUCAACCGGGGAGGGUCAUUGGAAACUGGGGAACUUGAGUGCAGAAGAGAAGAGCGGAAUUCCACGUGUAGCGGUGAAAUGCGUAGAGAUGUGGAGGAACACCAGUGGCGAAGGCGGCUCUUUGGUCUGUAACUGACGC